AAUAAUAUUUAGGUUGUAAUUCCAAUUCCCAUAGUUUAUUACUAAAUUUUAGCAUAGCCUGGUAAAGUGUAAAACUAACGCGACUUUAAUCAAAAUUGAUUAAAAAGUAAUUUAAACACUUAGUGAACCCUGUUGGGCUCAAUUUGCGUAACAAUCAGCAGCUUUUGACAAAAUUUACAAGACACGCAAAUAUUAAUCGCAUUCAAGUCCAUUUUCAGCUUCCACCCUGAAUAAGUGUAACGCUCGCUUUUGCAUUUCAUUAACAUCAAAACUGGUAAAAGCUGAAAAGCAUCUGUCCAAUACAGCUGCCCAUGCUGGUUCAACUCAAGUGAGAAAUUCGCUGUAGAAGUAAUGAAAGAAGUUGCCAGAAUCCCAAAUACACCCUAGGAAACGGUCUAAUCGAUAUCCGCUUCUGCUUAAUCUAAGCAUGGUGAUGCGUUAUACUACAUUAUCUUAUUUCUUGAGCUGAACUCUUGUGAAAGGAUGUUCCUGGAUGUAUGCCAAUGCCCUCAAGAUGUAAUCUGG